rnacentral:lncRNA from 1 species
CAUUUCAUAAGUUAUCAAAAAAGAUUGCAAAAACACAUUACAAAAAAGUUACAAAAGUCUAAGCAUAUCUAAUCUUCCUUCGCUUUAUUCUUGAGCUCGUCAAGAACCUCCUUGUGCUUAGACAUCUCCUCAGGAUUCGCCACGACCCACGCCAAUAUAUCAGAAAUGUAAUCAAUUGGUGAGCAAGCUUGAGAAUACGGAGGGACCAAAGUAGUUGAUAUCUUGAAGUUGAUCAGAUUGAUCGUUGAUGUCAAACUUCAAGUCCUCCACCAACUCGGAGGAAGUGCGCAGAUCUUCCUUAACUUUCUUCAACUCUUCAGUAGAUUGGGAGAGUUGAUCCUUCAAUUUCUAUUCAGAUUGAGAAUGACUCGCACGGAGUUCCUCAAUAGUGGAGUGUAAGGAAAGAGAGCUCCCAAUCUAUGAAUUCAGCUGAACUUUUAGAUCCUGUGCCGCUUUCUGAGCCACAACCUCAACAGUCAUAUGAGCGUCACGCUCUUUGCGAAGGGCCAGGAUUUUCCCAACAUACUCGUCAAUUACUUUCUUCUGAUCUGCAAUAGUCUUGUGUUUUUUGGGAACAACAUUGUUCUCCAGAUUUUGGCAUCUCUGGAGCACGUUCCGCAUCGAAUUGACCUCCUUUUUCACAGUCACAUACUUCGAGUGAAGAGCAUUGUAUUUGUCUUGGGCUUCGAGGGAAUCAGGAGAAAAAAGUGAGUAAAAAAAGAUAGGAAUAACAUUUGUAAAUGUAAAUGUAAAACUUGUUAAACGGAAAUAACAUUUGUAAAUGUAAAACUUGUUAAAAAAAUUACAAUUUUGUUAAAAUAAUUUGAGCUUAAAGUAUGGGUGGACGUGGGUACUUCAUCUAGAAAAGAAGGAUUUGUUAAACCGCACACAAAAUCCAGAUGAAAAAUAAAGAAACAUCGAAAUAGCACAAACCUUGCUAUCAAGCUUGUGCAGAGAUUCAUCUUUCGCAUAUAACUCCAUCUGCAUCCCCCUCUAUUUUAAUCUCCUUCUCCCUCUGAAUAACCAGAAGAAGAUGGAAAAAUCAAAUAUCACACAUUGGAACAAUCAUCAAAUUUUAAAAGAAACAUGCCAUUUUUACAUUAACCUGGUUUUUAUAUUCUGCUUUUAAUAAAUCUGAAAAAGAAAAAAAUAAUCAACCAACAUUUCAGGCAUAACCAUAACCAAAUCCUUUAUUAUUGGGCUGUCCUACCAGGCAAGACCCAAGAUCACCAAGCCUAGGUCAAGACCCAAGAGCACCAAGCCUAUAGUUUUAUUGCAUAAAUUAUCUAAACUUUUAAACUAAACUUCAGUAAACUAAACUUCACAUCUAAAUUUAGUUUUCAUAGAAGUGCUUUUUGAUAUCAUAAAUUCAGUAAACUAAACUUCUAAAUUAGUUAUUGAUAUCAUAAAAUAUAAGAAGAAUAUUCCUUUGUUACCUUAAUAACAUCUUUGUAAUCCGUUCACUGACUCAGAAGAAGAUAAAUAAAUCAAUUUCUUGAAGAAGCACUGUUAUACUAACCUGCAAGAAACAAAGUUUAGACAACUUUGCUUAAAAAAAAUGAACGACAAUGAAGUUGGAGACAUGAAAAAUUGGGGGACCUGAAAAUUAAGAUUUACCCACCUAUGAGACUGAACGUGUUCUGAUUGUGGAGCUGGAGUCUGAGUGUGGAGUCUGAGCGUGGAGCCGGAGCCGGAGUGUGGAGUCUGAGUGUGGUCUGAUUUCUGGACGAGUUAUGGAAUCCGUCUGAAAUUAGGAGGAGAAUCGAGAGUGGAGUUGACGAGUGUGGAGUCGACGAAUUCAGAAUCGAGAGUAAGGGGAAUGAGGAGAAUGAGGGGGUGUUGCCCGUGAGGAGAGUGAGGAGAAUCGAG